rnacentral:rRNA from 1 species
GUGGGGAAUUUUGGACAAUGGGCGCAAGCCUGAUCCAGCAAUGCCGCGUGCAGGAAGAAGGCCUUCGGGUUGUAAACUGCUUUUGUACGGAACGAAACGGUCCAGGUUAAUACCCUGGGCUAAUGACGGUACCGUAAGAAUAAGCACCGGCUAACUACGUGCCAGCAGCCGCGGUAAUACGUAGGGUGCAAGCGUUAAUCGGAAUUACUGGGCGUAAAGCGUGCGCAGGCGGUUUUGUAAGACGGGCGUGAAAUCCCCGGGCGCAACCUGGGAAUUGCGCUUGUGACUGCAAGGCUGGAGUGCGGCAGAGGGGGAUGGAAUUCCGCGUGUAGCAGUGAAAUGCGUGGAUAUGCGGAGGAACACCGAGGGCGAAGGCAAUCCCCUGGGCCUGCACUGACGCUCAUGCACGAAAGCGUGGGGAGCAAACAGGAUUAGAAACCCCAGUAGUCC